CAAAAUGGUUACAAGUUACAACAUUUACAAGUUAUAACAAGAUUACAAUAUAUAUCAUCGAAGUUGAUUACAAAAGAAAUUGAUUCAAAAAUAUUACAAUUUGAAUGUAUAAAGCAUUUAUAAGUUUUAAAAUAUAUGCUAGCUUAAGUGACAAUCCUCAAUAAAGAAGCUAAAGACGGGAUAUACUUAUAGAAGAAGGCCGAGCCCACCGGCACUUAGCACCAUCCACAAUAGAACAAAAUUAUAACCUGAAAAACAACAGGGAAUAAAACCCUGAGUACGCAAUUACUCAGCAAGACUUACCCGACUAAAGAAAAGACUCUCAAGGGUAUGCUGGUUUGUUGGGAAUCAAGGUAAAGCUCAUCAAAUUUCAAAGACACAUUUUCGCAGAAAAGCUUACUAGUAGUGGAUCCUUAUGCCAAACUUUUACUUCACAAAUUAAGUAUUUUUCCUUAAUCUAGAUUUGCCUAAUCUAGAGCAUUCACUUGUCCUACACUAGCUUUAUUUUAGCAGCUUUAGUUUCACUUGUUAUCUACGAUGAGGGUCGAAGAUCCAGUCUUCAUAUCCGAGAAGUUCGGCGAUCCGAAUCGAUUAAUACCCAGCUGGGGAUCUCCAACCACACGACAUAUGUAGCACUUAACCAUUGCAUAUGUCAACUCGCCACCGGGUUUCUCAAGACCAGAACGGGUUCACGCGACCCGAGAGCACAGCACUCCACCGCCCAGCCGUUGGCCUGGUUGGUACACGUUACUCUCGCCAUGGUGCCCGCCAUGUUUCCGAGAGUACAGCACCCCACCUUCCAGUCUCUUGCCACGGAGGGUACAAGCUACUCUCGCCAUCUCUCCACUCCCAGUGCGUGCGAGCUGUUCUGGUAUUGGUCCGACCGAGGCAAAGCUUACCCAUGAUGAGGCAUGUGGCCAGUUAAAGGGUCCUAGAUCAGCAGGCCAACAAUCGGAACGGUCCUUAAGCGACACAGACGGGCGACCUUUCCUGCUCAACGUCUGGUCUCAUCUUAUUAUUUAACACCCAAACCAUAUACCUGACAGAGGUACUAUACUUGAAUGAUGAAUUCAUCACUGCAGAUGAUGCGCUCACCAUUACAAGUCCAUUUUCAUAAAACAAACCCAUACCCAGUGUCACACAUCAUUCUUUUAAAAAGAAACAAGUUUUAAUUCUCUAGGCAGGGCUAAGCCUCAUUAGUUCUUUUUGUAAAACAGGUAUCAAGGAGGAUAAUCAAAUUCCAAGGAAUGGCAAUGCAUCAACUGUUUCAUCACUCAACUCCUAUCACCUAAUGCAGCAUAUAAGUGAUAAAAGUUUUAAAACAACAAGGAGGUGGCAAAUGCACCGGGGCUUGCCUGGGAUAAACACUACGUUAGUGUUGUUAAAUGAUGACCACUUGGUGAGCAUCUUCCGUCCCGGCACUUGGUUGAUUCAUCCACUUUAGCUCCGUCCAUUAGCAUCGUCUUGUGAUUAAUCCAUCUCUUGUCCUCCAUAUCACGUGAUCAAUUAGUGUACCUAAAUGAUAUGCAUAAUGCACAUGUAUGAACAUAGGAAGGAAUAAUAAGACUAAACAAUGUCACAAGGAAGAAAACUCAAUAUUACAGGCAAGAUCUCACCAACAUACAUAAUCAAACAUGAGAGAAAAUCUACACAAUCAUGAUCCUCGAGUUAAUCGAACCUAAUUCAAACAUUAGGCAACAUAACUAAACACAAGCCUUAGGCUAAAGCAUAACAUCGAUAGGUUACUACUUGUAGACUUAUCAAUUUCGGAUACUUAAUUUAGGUUUAUGAAUAGAAGUAUUUCAACUAGUUCUUAGAACUACUAAUCUAACCUAUUAGGCAUAACACAUCAACCAAACAAAUUAUUACAAUCAUUCGAUCAAGCAAGUAAACAUUAUCAAGAUCAUAGACAUUUGUAAGACUAUAAGCAAUAAAGGGUAACAUCACGGAUAGACGAGAGAAGUGAUAAAUUUUACUACUUGCAUUACUAUUUCAUUAUGCACAUACAAGGCCUAAAUAGUCACUACUCAAAUACAUUCACCAAGGCAUUUACUUCCUUCUCCAAAAUGCUAAAGUCUAAAGCAAGCAUUAAGAAAGAAAAGAAACAACCAUUUGCCACUACAAGACUUCAUUAAUCAAGACAAGAACUAACCAAAUAUAAGUAUCCUCACAAAAGAAACUCCAAGUAAUCAUUUCAUAUUUGCUGAAUUUGUACAGCAGAACAGCAGCUAGUUGUUUUAUUCAUAACUUACACAAUAUUCAUCAAAAAAUAAUAAACUAAGACUUUUUGGAAAGCUUAUAAAGUCCUCUACAAUUUUGGUAUUAUCAUCACAAUGAGAUUCGACAUAUAGAAAUGUCAAACAGUACUAAACGCAAUUUCUGUCCAGAUUUGGACAGAAUUCGGCCACUCACUUUAAAAUUCCAUAACUGGAGUUUCAGACAUCCAAAUCAGGUGAUCCUAGACUUUUUAGAAAGCUAAUAGAAUUGUCUACAAUUCAUUUAUAAUCAUCUCAAGGUGAUUCAAUGUGUAUCGAAGUCAGUUAAUACAAACAAACAUUACUGAUCAGAUUUGUACAGAUUCAGAGAUACUAACUCAAACAGCUGUAACUUAAUUUAUAAAUCACCAAAAAGGGUGAUCCAAAAUCUGUUGGAAAUCUUAAGAAAAGUAUUACAAUUCUUCUAUUAUUACUAAGGGCUGAUUCUAAGUUUAAUUUAGUCAAACAAAGCAAUUUUCGAAAUCAGUACAGAAUCUGGACAGAUUCUGAAACUGGACUUAGGAAAAUCAUAACUUCUAAACUGCUAAGUCUAUGGUCAUGAAAUUUUUACACAAGCAAGAUAAAGAAGUGAGCUACAACUUUCCUAUAUAACAUGUCUACAGAAAACAUGGUUUGCUUUGUUAAAUUAGCUGCGCAAUUAAAAUUGUACCUAUAGCUCUAAACAGUAAUAUAUUCAAUUUAGCUCCUAUUUGGCUUCUACAACUGUCAUGUGCUUAGUACUUCAAAUACUACUAACACCUUAUCUUAAAGUAGACUUAAAAACCAUCUAAUAUAACACAGCAUACAUAUUACCAAUUAGAUGAGCUAAAAGGACCAUAACUACUUGAAUAACCCACUAGAGCCCUAACGUGUGGAAAUUUGGCAAUUUACCCUCCCCCCUUGACAUGUUCAUUUACCAACUAUCGCGCAUAUGGACAACGAUGGAUCUGAAAGUCGACACACAAUAUGCUUACACUACAGACAAGAAAAUCAUCGGCCACAACUCUAAUCAAUACAACAAUCAAAUUAACUAAAUAGAGUAGCGAAAUGGCUCGCCACAUCACAAUUCAACUCAACUCAAUAUUCACACGAACGACGAUAGCCUUUUGAUUGAAGUUUUCUAUCGAACCUCUUGCAAGUGAUGUGCACAAACCUUUUCUUCAUCACCCAAACCCUGGGGUUCCUCUCCCCAAAACGCUAAGGAUUUCAGUCCACAUCAAACACAGAAACUCAUAUAUGGUUAAUAUAAAGAUGUAGGUACCAAGUCAUGAACAGCAAGCCUCACCGAUGAGGAACACAAUAUGUGGACUGCAUACCAGACUGGCGGGGUCGCGGAUGAGAAACGACGACAAUUUCUUGGUUCUCCCAUUUCGUCGAACACCUAGAGCACCGAACGGGAUGGACAUCGUCACUGUUAGGGCUACACAGACACGGCGAGCUGCAGGGACACAAAAACUUGGGCACCGAGAACCAAACUUGAGGAAAGGGAAGGGGAAAACAGCACCUGCGAUGGGGGUGAUUUCUUAGGCGAGCUCGCCAUGGGAAGAAAACUAGGCGCCAUGGAAGAGGCUCCUGCAGGGACGACGGCCGACGCGCAGCACGCAGGGGCACGACGGGGUUCACUGAAAGCCGGUUAAGGAGGGCUCUGGAAUUCCAACAGAGACAGGGUUAUGGCACGUGGUUGCACUGCUAUCUUCCACCCAUGAUCCAUGAAUAGAGGGACACGGUGUGGUGGUUUAAUGUGGCUUUGACAGCAAAUCACAAGCAGCUGUGUCACCACCUUCUAGAUAGGUUUCAAGUCUGCCACAUUUCCUCCCCUUGGACAGUAAAAAUAUCCAACGUGACCCCCCUUUUUACCAGAACGAAAUUCUUAUUGUUUUGCACUUAUCCAAAGUCAUCUGGAAACAGCUAGUGGAUGCAGAUCUUUUUCCUGAGAUAUUUUCAAACUGCCUGAUCUAGUUCAGUCGACAGCAACAACCACCUUGUCCCCUCCGUUUCUCCAAUUUCUUUAUAAUGACAGAGCUACCUCUCCACAUCAAAUUUAUUCCCUGAACAUUGGUCUUUUAAUUUGUUGUAGACUUUCAGAGUCAAUACCUUACAGGUUUCGAGUUAUAGAUCUCCAAAGUGAGGCAGAUCACACAGAAACCACAUUGCAGUUUUCUGAAACUGAACCCAGAAAUUGCAGACUGUUAAGGCAACUUUAAGGGUACUUAACUAUUUAUUUUAUAUGGUACCAAGUUAAUCAUUGUUAAGUAAACUUGUACACCAAUAUGUACUCUUCAACUUUUCUAUAAAGAUCCCAGUCCAAAACUGUCCAGAACAGUCACCAUAUAGCUCCAAAUUUAAACCAAACACUAGAAUUCAGAUCUGUUCACUCUUCCUUAUCUGAAAAAUUAAGGACGUCUGACAGCCUAUCUUUAGGGGUCAGUAACUCCACUUUUUAUGUAGUACUGAGUCCAUCUCCCUUCAACAAAGUUGCACAUUCAUAGAUCCUCUACCAUUUUGAUAUAAUGGUCCUAAGCUAAAACCCAAUGGACUGAAUAAUAAAAGGGCUUCAAAGUUGGCUUAGGCAUAAAAGUUCAGAACCCAGAAAUAUCACUAAGUCUGAAAAUUCAGAUUUGAGGAUAGGACUUUUGGGUCAAGUUCUCUAAUAGUUCCAUAUGGACUUAGGGCUUCAACACUUAAUAAAAGUUGUUCUCCUAUAGUUACUCUACAAUUUUACUAUAGCAACCUUUUGCUAAAAGCCCACAGAUUUUUUAAAAAAAUACAGGGAUCUAAAAUAGAUAAACCAAACUAUUUUUAGUUGAACCAAAACUAAGAUCUAAACGAGGUAUAACUGAAAACUCUAGAAGAUAAGCACAACAACAGCCCGCGAGCCCAAGAACCACCACGACGCUAACAUGCCGGACACGCGGCAGUGGAGUGACGGAAGGCACGACACGUGGUGAGGAGUUGGAGCGGUGGCCGAUUCAGAUAAACGAAAGGGAUAACGGCAGGGAGAUAAGAUGCGUCUGCGAAACUUCACAGAAACGAUGUUACGUGUCGCAAAUCGUAGGCAAGAAGUUAUGCACAGCCGCCCACAGAUUUGCACACGCCACGCGUGUCACGAUGUCUGGCCACAGAUAGACAUGUGCAACGCAAGCAUGAAAGAAUUUCAAACGAAUUUUAAGGAGCUACAUUUGAUUUCAAAAAUUAUAGUUUAGGUAAGACGUCGAUGGCUCAACCCAAACAAUAUUGGAUUCAAUAUUUCGGAAGAUUACUAAAGUCAGGAUUUUUACAAAAUAAAUUAGGACAAUUUAAACAGAUGGAGACAAACACGAUAUCAAAAUCGUGAUAGACAAAGAUGAUUAAAAUGUAGUGUCCACUUACAUUCACAGCUAUCACGUGUUAACGUCCACACUCGUGGUCGAGUAGACGAUAAACACCUGGGGUGUUACAGCCUUCCCCCCUUAAAAGAAUCUCGUCCCGAGAUUCAGAACGAAAGACUUCUAAGAGUAGAGAGGCGUAUAACCCUGUCCAUAAUAGUGAUAGCAUAAACUAAUUCCAAGCAAAGACGAGCAUCUCAAAAUGUUGCUUCUCUAGUGGGUAUAGCACAUACCACUUUAGUUUGACUAGAGACGUCAACAAACAAGCUAUAACUGACAGAAAACACAUAAGGUUCCAUGUGUGCAGUUUUCUUUUUCUAAUGACACUGUACUAUCUGGGUCUGUUGAGAACGGUGGACAAAUGGAUAGCAAUUACACAAACCAUGAAAGAUGCAACCUCUUGGGUAAAACACACAGAAAGAGGUUUACCAACAAGUGGUCAUUGGAAAUUCCUAGCACAUAAGACGAGGAUGAAUGUCGAAUAACAUCACAGUUAACUCGUGGUUAGCCAGGGAAUCCAAGUUUAAGGAAGAUGAUAAAAGUUUGAGAAAAUAUCAAUGUAGUGAUCCUCAAGGAGAGGCAAAUUGGAACAGGAAUACCAGCUUGCACCAACCGAACAAGGGUAUGGUUUAGGAUGAACAUUUGACCAUAAGAGAGCUACAAGUGGAUUGUCAAGAUUACAGACUCGAGAUCCUUGUUUUUAAGUUUGAGUGCAUCUCCAACAAGGGGAUUACUGAAACAUCUAUUUGCACGAGUUUGGCCAUGGAGUUGGAAGAUUUAGAGAGGCUUUGAAGAAAUGACAAAAUUAUGAAUUAGAUCUCAUACAAUUUCAAAUGUUGAGAUGAUGAGGACAUGACUUGGUCUAAUUGCUAGAACUCCAAUAAUCUUGUGAAGAAAAUGAUCUUCACACAAGACGACAUCUAGGAUAGGUUGUCAAGAAAUUAAUAUAAAGUUAGAUUAAGGUUCACUAAACAGGGACAUGACCUAGCUUUGGGUUUAUGCAAACAAACUACCUGCAUUCUACCAGCACACAAGCACGAAAACAAACCCAAGUUGCACUAGCGGUCAAACUAAGAAGAAUCACAUGCCACAUAAACACAUGUCUAAAGGACGCAACAAACAAAGCUAGAAAUUGCUUAUAAAACAGUAAUACUUCAUACAGUUUCCAAUUAUUUAUUGUCGGAAUAAAGAUGAGAAAAGCAUGUUCCUUCACAAUCACCUAUUAUUAGAAUAAAAACAAUCACCUAUUAUUAGAAUAAAGGUGAGGGAAGCAUUUCUUGCGCAAACAACAAACACAAUGCAACAAUCAGGAUGCAUGCUCGUCCUAUUCGUCCUCACGAAUUUCACCAACAUAAUGUGGCAAUAGCGUUCUAUAUCGGUGGCAUAAUUACGUCUCUCUCGAUAUAUUGCUAGUCGUCAGCUACACAUACGAGUUCGAAGUUAGUGUACCUGCAGAAAAAUCCAUCACAGCCCAAUUCCCAAUGAUGCAAUUCACACAUGACAGUUUAUCACAGUUUAUACUCCAUAUAUUGCUAUAUGGAGGCCAGCUCCUCAUUAAGCGCCGAGCCACGCAUAGGCGCCGCUGCCACACUUUAACCAUAGGGCAGCUCAUUAUGGUAACUCACCUUCUUACCUGAGCAUAGGUGCGUCGUUGCAAAUACAUUACACUUCUCGGUAUUCCCAUGUCUGUAUACCCAUACACAUCCAUGGGGUACCGAUUCCCGGAAAAGUAAAUACUCCACAUCGCAGCCUUCAUAUAUACAUAUGUGUAACAUGUAUAUAAUCAAGCGCUUUUUAUACUCUUCCCUAGACCGACGUUUGUUCGGUCAUACUCUCACAUCUCACCUUACCUGAGCGUCGAUCCAUUCAAAACUGAAUGGCCUCAAAAAUAACAUUACACAUGUAUGCAUUACCCUUCCCAGGUUGUGGGUUAAUAUUCUGAACUAAGCCACCUAGUAGUCCUUAAUUUAGGGCUUAAUAGAGGAUGUCGCUAGCAUUAUAGUUUUUUCAAAACUGUUUUUCAAAACCAAACAAUGUGUUUAGUUGAAAAUAGGUUUUCGAAACCAAAACUUUAUUUUAAAAAUAUGUAUGUGACCGUAUAUACUUAAUUCAGCUCCGAUACCAGCUGUCGCAGAACCUCCCAAGUUAUCAGGCCCACAUGCACCUGUCCUCGUUCCAAGGACCUCAAACGACUAUGCAUGUGCACCAAAUAACUUAACAGGAUCUGUCCGAGUGCCCCAAGGACCCCGGAUAAACGACUUACCGCCAAGAUCGCAAGAUUAAGUAAACACAAAUCACACACCAACAUUUGCAGCGGAAAUUUUUUAUUACAAAAUGGUUACAAGUUACAACAUUUACAAGUUAUAACAAGAUUACAAUAUAUAUCAUCGAAGUUGAUUACAAUAGAAAUUGAUUCAAAAAGAUUACAAUUUGAAUGUAUAAAGCAUUUAUAAGUUUUAAAAUAUAUGCUAGCUUAAGUGACAAUCCUCAAUAAAGAAGCUAAAGACGGGAUAUACUUAUAGAAGAAGGCCGAGCCCACCGGCACUUAGCACCAUCCACAAUAGAACAAAAUUAUAACCUGAAAAACAACAGGGAAUAAAACCCUGAGUACGCAAUUACUCAGCAAGACUUACCCGACUAAAGAAAAGACUCUCAAGGGUAUGCUGGUUUGUUGGGAAUCAAGGUAAAGCUCAUCAAAUUUCAAAGACACAUUUUCGCAGAAAAGCUUACUAGUAGUGGAUCCUUAUGCCAAACUUUUACUUCACAAAUUAAGUAUUUUUCCUUAAUCUAGAUUUGCCUAAUCUAGAGCAUUCACUUGUUCUACACUAGCUUUAUUUUAGCAGCUUUAGUUUCACUUGUUAUCUACGAUGAGGGUCGAAGAUCCAGUCUUCAUAUCCGAGAAGUUCGGCGAUCCGAAUCGAUUAAUACCCAGCUAGGGAUCUCCAACCACACGACAUAUGUAGCACUUAACCCUUGCAUAUGUCAACUCGCCACCGAGUUUCUCAAGACCAGAAUGGGUUCACGCGACCCGAGAGCACAGCACUCCACCGUCCAGCCGUUGGCCUGGUUGGUACACGUUACUCUCGCCAUGGUGCCCGCCAUGUUUCCGAGAGUACAGCACCCCACCUUCCAGUCUCUUGCCACGGAGGGUACAAGCUACUCUCGUCAUCUCUCCACUCCCAGUGCGUGCGAGCUGUUCUAGUAUUGGUCCGACCGAGGCAAAGCUUACCCAUGAUGAGGCAUGUGGCCAGUUAAAGGGUCCUAGAUCAGCAGGCCAACAAUCGGAAUGGUCCUUAAGCGACACAGACGGGCGACCUUUCCUGCUCAACGUCUGGUCUCAUCUUAUUAUUUAACACCCAAACCAUAUACCUGACAGAGGUACUAUACUUGAAUGAUGAAUUCAUCACUACAGAUGAUGCGCUCACCAUUACAAGUCCAUUUUCAUAAAACAAACCCAUACCCAGUGUCACACAUCAUUCUUUUAAAAAGAAACAAGUUUUAAUUCUCUAGGCAGGGCUAAGCCUCAUUAGUUCUUUUUGUAAAACAGGUAUCAAGGAGGAUAAUCAAAUUCCAAGGAAUGGCAAUGCAUCAACUGUUUCAUCACUCAACUCCUAUCACCUAAUGCAGCAUAUAAGUGAUAAAAGUUUUAAAACAACAAGGAGGUGGCAAAUGCACCGGGGCUUGCCUGGGAUAAACACUACGUUAGUGUUGUUAAAUGAUGACCACUUUGUGAGCAUCUUCCGUCUCGGCACUUGGUUGAUUCAUCCACUUUAGCUCCGUCCAUUAGCAUCGUCUUGUGAUUAAUCCAUCUCUUGUCCUCCAUAUCACGUGAUCAAUUAGCGUACCUAAAUGAUAUGCAUAAUGCACAUAUAUGAACAUAGGAAGGAAUAAUAAGACUAAACAAUGUCACAAGGAAGAAAACUCAAUAUUACAGGCAAGAUCUCACCAACAUACAUAAUCAAACAUGAGAGAAAAUCUACACAAUCAUGAUCCUCGAGUUAAUCGAACCUAAUUCAAACAUUAGGCAACAUAACUAAACACAAGCCUUAGGCUAAAGCAUAACAUCGAUAGGUUACUACUUGUAGACUUAUCAAUUUCGGAUACUUAAUUUAGGUUUAUGAAUAGAAGUAUUUCAACUAGUUCUUAGAACUACUAAUCUAACCUAUUAGGCAUAACACAUCAACCAAACAAAUUAUUACAAUCAUUCGAUCAAGCAAGUAAACAUUAUCAAGAUCAUAGACAUUUGUAAGACUAUAAGCAAUAAAGGGUAACAUCACGGAUAGACGAGAGAAGUGAUAAAUUUUACUACUUGCAUUACUAUUUCAUUAUGCACAUACAAGGCCUAAAUUGUCACUACUCAAAUACAUUCACCAAGGCAUUUACUUCCUUCUCCAAAAUGCUAAAGUCUAAAGCAAGCAUUAAGAAAGAAAAGAAACAACCAUUUGCCACUACAAGACUUCAUUAAUCAAGACAAGAACUAACCAAAUAUAAGUAUCCUCACAAAAGAAACUCCAAGUAAUCAUUUCAUAUUUGCUGAAUUUGUACAGCAGAACAGCAGCUAGUUGUUUUAUUUAUAACUUACACAAUAUUCAUCAAAAAAUAGUAAACUAAGACUUUUUGGAAAGCUUAUAAAGUCCUCUACAAUUUUGGUAUUAUCAUCACAAUGAGAUUCGACAUAUAGAAAUGUCAAACAGUACUAAACGCAAUUUCUGUCCAGAUUUGGACAGAAUUCGGCCACUCACUUUAAAAUUCCAUAACUGGAGUUUCAGACAUCCAAAUCAGGUGAUCCUAGAAUUUUUAGAAAGCUAAUAGAAUUGUCUACAAUUCAUUUAUAAUCAUCUCAAGGUGAUUAAAUGUGUAUCGAAAUCAGUUAAUACAAACAAACAUUGCUGUCCAGAUUUGUACAGAUUCAGAGAUACUAACUCAAACAGCUGUAACUUAAUUUAUAGAUCACCAAAAAGGGUGAUCCAAAAUCUGUUGGAAAUCUUAAGAAAAGUAUUACAAUUCUUCUAUAAUUACUAAGGGCUGAUUAUAAGUUUAAUUUAGUCAAACAAAGCAAUUUUCGAAAUCAGUACAGAAUCUGGACAGAUUCUGAAACUGGACUUGGGAAAAUCAUAACUUCUAAACUGCUAAGUCUAUGGUCAUGAAAUUUUUACACAAGCAAGAUAAAGAAGUGAGUGUCAUGUGGGGCCUCCCCUAUAACCGUCGGAGGCGCGCAAGAGACGGGAGGCGCGCUGCAGAAAGAGCAGCAGCCAGUGCCACGUCAGCAGCAGAAAAGGAAAGCCAAGAAAUCAGUGGCUAGAAGAAGGAAAGAAUCAAAGGACAUGCAGCCGCCACCUCUAUAGAAGGAAGGGCGGCUAGAAGAAGAAAUAAAUUAGUAGAGAUCCUAAAUCAUAGAGAUCAGUUUCCUUUUAGUAGAGAUCCUAAAUCAGAAGGAUUAGUUUCCCCUUUCUGUUACACCGUAGGCUAUAAAGCCUUGUAGCUGGCUCCUUUGAGGGACAAGCAAUAACACAGUUAUUUCCUCCAUUCUCCCUACCACUCUCAAGCCUUCGGAAGAGGGGUAAAACCUCUCCGGAGAAGACGGACCGGGGGUACGACCUACGUAGCCGAGGGCCCCCUUCCCUAGACUCUAAGGCCCUUGACAGUGAGCUACAACUUUCCUAUAUAACAUGUCUACAGAAAACAUGGUUUGCUUUGUUAAAUUAGCUGCGCAAUUAAAAUUGUACCUAUAGCUCUAAACAGUAAUAUAUUCAAUUUAGCUCCUAUUCGGCUUCUACAACUGUCAUGUGCUUAGUACUUCAAAUACUACUAACACCUUAUCUUAAAGUAGACUUAAAAACCAUCUAAUAUAACACAGCAUACAUAUUACCAAUUAGAUGAGCUAAAAGGACCAUAACUACUUGAAUAACCCACUAGAGCCCUAACGUGUGGAAAUUUGGCAAUUUACCCUCCCCCUUGACAUGUUCAUUUACCAACUAUCGCGCAUAUGGACAACGAUGGAUCUGAAAGUCGACACACAAUAUGCUUACACUACAGACAAGAAAAUCAUCGGCCACAACUCUAAUCAAUACAACAAUCAAAUUAACUAAAUAGAGUAGCGAAAAGGCUCGCCACAUCACAAUUCACCUCAACUCAAUAUUCGCACGAACGACGAUAGCCUUUUGAUUGAAGUUUUCUAUCGAACCUCUUGCAAGUGAUGCGCACAAACCUUUUCUUCAUCACCCAAAUCCUGGGGUUCCUCUCCCCAAAACGCUAAGGAUUUCAGUCCACAUCAAACACAGAAACUCAUAUAUGGUUAAUAUAAAGAUGUAGGUACCAAGUCAUGAACAUCAAGCCUCACCGAUGAGGAACACAAUAUGUGGACUGCAUACAAGACUGGCGGGGUCGCGGAUGAGAAACGACGACAAUUUCAUGGUUCUCCCAUUUCGUCGAACACCUAGAGCACCGAACGGGAUGGACAUCGUCACUGUCGGGGCUGCGCAGACACGGCGAGCUGCAGGGACACAAAAACUUGGGCACCGAGAACCAAACUUGAGGAAAGGGAAGGGGAAAACAGCACCUGCGAUGGGGGUGAUUUCUUGGGCGAGCUCGCCAUGGGAAGAAAACUAGGCGCCAUGGAAGAGGCUCCUGCAGGGACGACGGCCGACGCGCAGCACGCAGGGGCACGACGGGGUUCACUGAAAGCCGGUUAAGGAGGGCUCUGGAAUUCCAACAGAGACAAGGUUAUGGCACGUGGUUGCACUGCUAUCUUCCACCCAUGAUCCAUGAAUAGAGGGACACGGUGUGGUGGUUUAAUGUGGCUUUGACAGCAAAUCACAAGCAGCUGUGUCACCACCUUCUAGAUAGGUUUCAAGUCUGCCACAUUUCCUCCCCUUGGACAGUAAAAAUAUCCAACGUGACCCCCCCCCCCCUUUUUACCAGAACGAAAUUCUUAUUGUUUUGCACUUAUCCAAAGUC
rnacentral:lncRNA from 1 species